AGCGAACGCUGGCGGCAGGCUUAACACACGCCAGUCGAGCGGGCACCUUUCGGGGUGUCAGCGGCGGACGGGUGAGUAACGCGUGGGAACGUGCCCUCUGGUUCGGAAUAACUCAGGGAAACUUGAGCUAAUACCGGAUACGCCCUUUUGGGGAAAGGCUUGCUGCCGGAGGAUCGGCCCGCGUCUGAUUAGCUAGUUGGUGAGGUAACGGCUCACCAAGGCGACGAUCAGUAGCUGGUCUGAGAGGAUGAUCAGCCACACUGGGACUGAGACACGGCCCAGACUCCUACGGGAGGCAGCAGUGGGGAAUAUUGGACAAUGGGCGCAAGCCUGAUCCAGCCAUGCCGCGUGAGUGAUGAAGGCCUUAGGGUUGUAAAGCUCUUUUAUCCGGGACGAUAAUGACGGUACCGGAGGAUUAAGCCCCGGCUAACUUCGUG
rnacentral:rRNA from 1 species